rnacentral:rRNA from 1 species
UACGUAGGGGGCUAGCGUUGUCCGGAAUCAUUGGGCGUAAAGAGCGUGUAGGCGGUCCGGUAAGUCCGGUGUGAAAGUCAAGGGCUCAACCCUUGAAUGCCGGCGGAUACUGUCGGGCUAGAGUCCGGAAGAGGAGAGUGGAAUUCCUGGUGUAGCGGUGGAAUGCGCAGAUAUCAGGAGGAACACCUAUAGCGAAGGCAGCUCGCUGGGCCGGUACUGACGCUGAGGCGCGAAAGCGUGGGGAGCGAACAGG